AUCAGAACUGUAGGGACGCAUGUGGAAAGCACGAGCCGGGAAUGGAAAGACCGGUACAAGCGGGGUAGGAGUACAAUAGGUAAAUCCGUUGUAUGAUCCGAAGACGUGAUGUGGAGCGAAAUAAAGUAGCAAAGCGUGUGAGCCAUGUGCCGAGAAAAGCUGCUAUUGUGUAAUGCGUGCCCGUACCGUAAACCGACACAGGUGGAUGAGG
rnacentral:rRNA from 1 species